UUUUCGGGCGACCGCUGGCGGCGUGCCUAACACAUGCAAGUCGAGCGAAGUAUUUAAAGAAGAUUUCUUCGGAAUGAAACUUUAAAUAUCUUAGCGGCGGACGGGUGAGUAACGCGUGAGAAACCUGCCUUUCACAACGGGAUAGCCUCGGGAAACUGGGAUUAAUACCGUAUGAUGUUUCUUUUUAGCAUUAAGAAGAAACCAAAGCGCAAAGCGGUGAAAGAUGGUCUCGCGUCCCAUUAGCUAGUUGGUGAGAUAAAAGCUCACCAAGGCGACGAUGGGUAGCCGGCCUGAGAGGGUGAACGGCCACACUGGAACUGAGACACGGUCCAGACUCCUACGGGAGGCAGCAGUGGGGAAUAUUGCACAAUGGAGGAAACUCUGAUGCAGCGACGCCGCGUGAGUGAUGAAGGCUUUCGAGUCGUAAAACUCUGUCCUAGGGGACGAUAAUGACGGUACCCUAGGAGGAAGCCCCGGCUAACUACGUGCCAGCAGCCGCGGUAAUACGUAGGGGGCGAGCGUUGUCCGGAAUUAUUGGGCGUAAAGGGUUCGCAGGCGGCCUUUUAAGUCAGAUGUGAAAUCCCACGGCUUAACCGUGGUAAGCAUUUGAAACUGGAAGGCUUGAGUUAAGGAGAGGAAAGUGGAAUUCCUAGUGUACCGGUGAAAUGCGUAGAUAUUAGGAGG
rnacentral:rRNA from 1 species